rnacentral:rRNA from 1 species
UACGUAGGGUGCGAGCGUUGUCCGGAAUUAUUGGGCGUAAAGGGCUCGUAGGCGGUCUGUCACGUCGGGAGUGAAAACUCGGAGCUUAACCCCGAGCCUGCUUCCGAUACGGGCAGACUAGAGGUAUGCAGGGGAGAAUGGAAUUCCUGGUGUAGCGGUGAAAUGCGCAGAUAUCAGGAGGAACACCGGUGGCGAAGGCGGUUCUCUGGGCAUUACCUGACGCUGAGGAGCGAAAGUGUGGGGAGCGAACAGG